rnacentral:lncRNA from 1 species
UCAUUUGAAUGGUGAAAUAAAUCACGAUAAAUCCAGAACAACACUGGCCAUUCUUAAGAACACAGGUGUGAUAAAUGGCAAUAAGGACACUUGCUCUUGCACGUACAAUUCCACUUCACAUGCACAGACAACGCCUCAACGCAGAGACUUCGGUGACAGAUCGGCACUCAAGUCAUCACAGCUAGGAUUCGGCUGGCCUGUACAACAACAUCUGUCUUAUAGGAGAUCUGCAAGGCGGGGCAAAUAUCUAAGCUAAAUUGACAACUCGGUUGGGCAGUCACUCGGUUACGUUAUGACGCCACUGCGCAAGUCUGAAGAUCUGAGCAUUUCCGGAUGUGGGUGGAAGGCGGAUGCAGAUCCCGUCUGCGUGCACGGCUGCGGGAUUUACUGGCUUUGUCUCGUGAAAUUAACUCCCAAUGGACUGUCACGCACCUGUCAAUCAAUCAAUGUCUCCAGCUGUUCCUAAUAUACCAGGAAGAAGCCUCUGGACUGAUGGACUUAAUAUAUAUACAUCGAUCUCAUUUCACCUUCCUGCAAAAGGCCAGGAUCUUGGAAGAUGUGUUUUAUAAAUCAAUGAGACAUAUUUCCCCUGACAGCGUUGAGACCUAACGGAUGUGCUUGGAAUAGGUUUGGAAACCAGAGGGAUUAUUUUGAUAGAUAAUAUUUUAGAUCUUGAUAUGGAAACAUGUUAAGAUUUUAAAUAAGUGAUUAUUUGUGUUUUUUAUGCUUCACAGUUUAAGAGAUUAUAUUUUAUUUGUCAUUUACUGUUUGUGUGCAGAUACACGUUUUUGACUAUCUAACAGUACAAGCAAAUCAACGAGCAAGGAGUGGUUUUGGAUUUACGGUCGUUCUUUAUCUCCAGUUACCCCACGGUUUGUCAGCCCGAGAACAGCCCAUUAACUAGUUUCAGUAAUCAAACAAACAUCACCCUGUGACACGUCGCUUAUAUAAGUGCAAUAAUCUUGGACGCGACGUUAAACCCAAUUUCACCUCACCUCACCCUGUGAAGAUCCGGGUUAUAAUAGGUC